rnacentral:rRNA from 1 species
AUACGGAGGAUGCGAGCGUUAUCCGGAUUUAUUGGGUUUAAAGGGAGCGUAGGUGGGAUAUUAAGUCAGCGGUUAAAUCGUGGGGCUCAACCCCAUUCUGCCGUUGAUACUGGGUGGCUUGAUUGCGGUCGAGGUUGGCGGAAUUCGUUGUGUAGCGGUGAAAUGCAUAGAUAUGACGAAGAACACCGAUUGCGUAGGCAGCUGACCAGACCGCAAAUGACGCUCAUGCACGAAAGUGCGGGGAUCGAACAGGAUUAGAUACCCUGGUAGUCCGCACAGUAAACGAUGAAUACUUGUUUUCGGCGAUAUAAUGUCGGAGGCAAAGCGAAAGCGAUAAGUAUUCCACCUGGGGAGUACGCCGGCAACGGUGAAACUCAAAUGAAUUGACGGGG